rnacentral:lncRNA from 13 species
ACACGUGGAAAUUGCCCUCGUGAGGUCGCAACAAUUGUGGAGCGGUGGGUGAUGAAGUUGCCCUAGAGAUGAUCCCAGCCAUGGGGACAGAGCAAGAUCAGCUAACCCUGACUUAGAGGGUCAGGCCAGGCUCCUCCGAGAAAGUGUCUGCUGGGGACUGGGGCAGAGGAAGUUCACUGGGUGAUAGGGACGAGUGGGAACAUGCUGGAGGAAGAGAAAACAGCCUGUGCAAAGGCAAGGAGAAGCUUGAGGAACGGAGGUCUGGAGGCUACAAGCCUGAAACCAGUGUCAGCAGGGCCACACUCCUCUUCCAGCUUCUGGUGGCUUCAAUCACAUUAUAUUAGUGCUAAAGUAAUUGCUGUUUUGCCGUAAAAAGUAAUGGCAAACUUUUCAUAGCAAAACCGCAAUUGCUUUUGCACUAAGUUCAAGUGUUCUUUCUGUAUUCUAAAUGCAAGUCUCUUAUCAGAUUUACGAUGUGCAAAUAUUUUCUCCCAUUCUGGGGUUGUCAUGUCACUCUUUUCACAGUGUCCUUUGAAGCAUGAAAAUUUUUAAUUUUGAUAAAGUCCAAUUUAUCAAACGUUUCUUUGGUUGUGUAUGCUCUGGAUGUCAU